UCCCUUGUGGUCCAGUGGCUAAGACUCUGCACUUCCAAUGCAGUGGACCUAGGUUCAACCCCUGGUUGGGGAG